rnacentral:rRNA from 1 species
UACAGAGGUCUCAAGCGUUGUUCGGAUUCAUUGGGCGUAAAGCGCGUGUAGGCGGCUUUGCAAGUCGGGUGUGAAAGCCCUCAGCUCAACUGAGGAAGUGCGCCCGAAACUGCAGAGCUUGAGUACCGGAGAGGGUGGCGGAAUUCCCCAAGUAGAGGUGAAAUUCGUAGAUAUGGGGAGGAACACCGGUGGCGAAGGCGGCCACCUGGACGGUCACUGACGCUGAGACGCGAAAGCGUGGGGAGCAAACAGG